AUGAACGCUGCGGCGAUGCCUUACACAUGCAAGUCGAACGGCAGCACGGGAGCAAUCCUGGUGGCGAGUGGCGAACGGGUGAGUAAUAUAUCGGAACGUGCCCAGUCGUGGGGGAUAACGUAGCGAAAGCUACGCUAAUACCGCAUACGAUCUACGGAUGAAAGCGGGGGAUCGCAAGACCUCGCGCGAUUGGAGCGGCCGAUAUCAGAUUAGCUAGUUGGUGGGGUAAAAGCUCACCAAGGCGACGAUCUGUAGCUGGUCUGAGAGGACGACCAGCCACACUGGAACUGAGACACGGUCCAGACUCCUACGGGAGGCAGCAGUGGGGAAUUUUGGACAAUGGGCGCAAGCCUGAUCCAGCAAUGCCGCGUGCAGGAUGAAGGCCUUCGGGUUGUAAACUGCUUUUGUACGGAACGAAACGGUGAGCUCUAAUAAAGCUUGCUAAUGACGGUACCGUAAGAAUAAGCACCGGCUAACUACGUG
rnacentral:rRNA from 1 species